rnacentral:rRNA from 1 species
CGGUUUCGCCCUGGGAGUUUGAUCCAGGCUCAGGAUGAACGCUGGCGGCGUGCUUAACACAUGCAAGUCGAACGAUGAUCCGGUGCUUGCGCCGGGGAUUAGUGGCGAACGGGUGAGUAACACGUGAGUAACCUGCCCUUGACUCUGGGAUAAGCCUGGGAAACUGGGUCUAAUACCGGAUAUGACUCCUCAUCGCAUGGUGGGGGGUGGAAAGCUUUUGCGGUUUUGGAUGGACUCGCGGCCUAUCAGCUUGUUGGUGAGGUAAUGGCUUACCAAGGCGACGACGGGUAGCCGGCCUGAGAGGGUGACCGGCCACACUGGGACUGAGACACGGCCCAGACUCCUACGGGAGGCAGCAGUGGGGAAUAUUGCACAAUGGGCGCAAGCCUGAUGCAGCGACGCCGCGUGAGGGAUGACGGCCUUCGGGUUGUAAACCUCUUUCAGUAGGGAAGAAGCGAAAGUGACGGUACCUGCAGAAGAAGCGCCGGCUAACUACGUGCCAGCAGCCGCGGUAAUACGUAGGGCGCAAGCGUUAUCCGGAAUUAUUGGGCGUAAAGAGCUCGUAGGCGGUUUGUCGCGUCUGCCGUGAAAGUCCGGGGCUCAACUCCGGAUCUGCGGUGGGUACGGGCAGACUAGAGUGAUGUAGGGGAGACUGGAAUUCCUGGUGUAGCGGUGAAAUGCGCAGAUAUCAGGAGGAACACCGAUGGCGAARGCAGGUCUCUGGGCAUUAACUGACGCUGAGGAGCGAAAGCAUGGGGAGCGAACAGGAUUAGAUACCCUGGUAGUCCAUGCCGUAAACGUUGGGCACUAGGUGUGGGGGACAUUCCACGUUUUCCGCGCCGUAGCUAACGCAUUAAGUGCCCCGCCUGGGGAGUACGGCCGCAAGGCUAAAACUCAAAGGA